GAUGAACGCUCGCGGCAGGCCUAACACAUGCAAGUCGAGGGGGAGGUUACUUUCGGGUAACUGAGACCGGCGUACGGGUGCGUAACGCGUAUACAAUCUGCCUUUCACUGGGGGAUAGCCCGAAGAAAUUUGGAUUAAUACCCCAUAGUAUAGUAAUACGGCAUCGUGAUGCUAUUAAAGCUUAGGUGGUGAAAGAUGAGUAUGCGUUCUAUUAGCUAGUUGGAGAGGUAACGGCUCCCCAAGGCGAUGAUAGAUAGGGGUUCUGAGAGGAAUGUCCCCCACACUGGUACUGAGAUACGGACCAGACUCCUACGGGAGGCAGCAGUGAGGAAUAUUGGACAAUGGUCGGAAGACUGAUCCAGCCAUGCCGCGUGCAGGAUGAAGGUCUUAUGGAUUGUAAACUGCUUUUGUAAGGGAAGAAUAAGGGCUACGCGUAGUUUGAUGACGGUACCUUACGAAUAAGCAUCGGCUAACUCCGUG
rnacentral:rRNA from 1 species